ACCAGGUAGUUCAGUCUUUAACCAGGUCUGGCAUAUAAAAAUCAUAACACAACAAGACCAAGUUGGUUCAUCCCAAGAAUGCAAGUUUAACUCAAUACUUAAAAUAUGACUAUAAUUUCACCAUGUUAACAGAAACAAAAGGGGAAAAGAUGCAUACAAUGAAUUUGAUAAAAUUUUGUAUUCAGACAUUACCAAAAUUCUCAGGAAACAAAUAAUAUAAUAGGAUGUCCUCAAGUUGAUAAAAAUAAAUAUCUAUCAAAAUACCUACAGCUCACUUCAAAUACUAGGGUGAAGGACUGAAAGUUUAUCUCCUUAGAUCAGUUUGGACUGAAUUCUCAGAGGGUAAAAAACAAGCCUUCUUAUGAGGAGACCACAACAAGAGCAGCUAUUUCAUAAAGGUCGAAUGAAGCACAGCUUGGAUGAGGUACUGACCCAGGUCUCAGGGUCUUGUGAGUUCUCAUGACAGUGCUUUUCCCAGACUUACGAUGUGGAGCCCAUGUGGAGGGCUCUAUUGUGCUUUUUGAGGAGUUUUUUUUGUGCAUACUGACACAUUCUACAACAGCAUUAUACAGUCUGGGUUUCACAAGCAUGUGCUUUUAUAAAGAUGAUCUGAUACUAGGUGAUGGAGUUCACUUACCUUUACAACUGAAACACUGGUUUGCAGUCCUGGAUCUAGGUAUAAAGAUAUAUUGUGGAGCUUUUUAAAAGUACCUAAGCUGAGAUUUCAACCACAGAGAUUCCACUGUCUGAAGAAAAAAAAAUCAUCACUUUUAAAAGGAUCUCCAGGUGCAGUCAGGUCUGAAAAGCACUCAGCUUUGCUACUUAAACUUGAUGUAUCAUAUUAUGAGGAUGCUUGCAAGAACUGUGAAUCUCAGGAUCUGCUAAACCAGAAUCAGCAUUUUUAAUUUUUAUUCUUUAACUGGUACAUUAUAAUUAUACAUAUUAUGGGAUUCCUUGUUACAUAUUCAUGCAUGCACACAACAGAAUCAGUAUUUUUAACAUUAAGACCUCCAGGUGAUUGCCAUAUUCAUUGUCAUGAAAUACUAGCCUGAAGGAUUUCUAAUUAAUUCCUCUCUUCUGAGGCAUCUAGACCACUAAUCUGAAAUCUCAGCACACAUAUUAUCUAUCCCAGCCUGAGUGUGGUUUGAUAUACCUUGGGUAUCUGUAGUUUGUCCUGAAACAUGCCUUUUGUUUGUUUGUUUGUUUGCUAAUGCCUCAAAAAAGUUCUCUGGGCAUAUGAAAAUACUCAUUAAAACACAUUUAUUUGGUUUAGAAGCAUAUAGGAAUAUGAUCCCACAACCAUUUGGGGAUGAUUUUAAAUACCAAAUUGUGGAUUUCUUUACAAACCUCAUAUGCAACAUGUAAAUGAGGGAAUAUUGUAUCUGGUAGUAUCCUCUACUGUCUAGGCAUCAAGUUACCAAGGCUAAGUUAUUAAUUUCAUUUAAAUAAUGCUUAUCUCUACAGUAACCAUGCAAGCAAAGUAUUAUUAUGCCCAUUUUUGCAAUAGGGAACUGAGGUCUCCGGAGGGGAGUGGUUAAAUUGCCUAAAGUUACAUAACUGGUAAUUAGCUUAGUAAUCUUUCAAACUCAGCUACCAAAACACUAAAGACCAAGAUCUUUUCACUGCUCUAACUUGACUGCUUUAAUUCUGAAACCUUUAGUAAAGUGUUACACAGAUCCACUCCUAUACAUAUCCUCUAGAAUAUAUUAAUAAUUUCCUCUCUUACUAUUAAUAAGUGAUAACUGAUUGUAUCUUUUCAAAACUGUCCUUCAGUAUCUGUUGAAAUGCCAAAUACCCUGCACUUGGUCCUAAUAUGUCCUUUAGUCAAUUGAAAUACUUAUUUGCAGAAGAAUCACUUUUGAAUAUUAAUAAAUUAUAGACAAAUUUGAUUGUAUCUGGCAUAUUUUUGAACCAGACAAAAAAAUACCUUUUUGCCAUUUCUGUUUUUUUUUUCUUAGCUCUACUAAAUUAAUUCAAUUACAGGCCUUGUCUGGCUGCAGAACACUGAACUUUGGGUGCCUGCAUAUGUUUAUAAAUUAAAAGUGCAACUUUACAGUUUGCUCAUUACUCUGGAUUUGAUGUAUACCUGAAGAAAGCAGCAAAAUUAAAGUAAUAAAGCCUGUCUUUAAAAAGGCAUUUAAUCCCUGUAGUUCUGAUUGGUGGAAAAUGACCUUGGCUGAAUCUUUCACGCACCAUUGCAUUUAGCUUAGGAUGCAUAAUUCAUACAGCAUCAAUUAGCCAACAGUAGAAUCUGCAACAAGAGGGAAUGUUUCAUAUAAAUCACUGUUGGCCAAAUUGCUGGGACAAUUAAUAAAGUAGAAAAUCUGUGGACAUCAAUUCAUAGGCAACACAGAUUCAUCAAAAGCAAUUCAGUUUCCUACACUUCUUGGAAAGAAAUCACACACAAAGAAAAUACCAGAUAUUAUUUAAUCACUAUUUCUUAGGAAGGGCUGAUCAAGAUAAUAUUAUUUGUUGUUUUUAUUUAUGUGAACAGGUGCCUAACAUAAGUGGCUCAUUUGUUUGGCUUAAGGCACUAAAUAACAGUGCCAUUCUAUGAGUUAAAACACAGCAAUCAAAGAAAAGUACCCCUACAUGUGAAGCAUUUAUAAUCU